GGCAGUAAAGGGAAUAUUAACCAUUCAAUCUUAAUGGAUGCAUCAAAUAUGCUAUCUCGAGUUGUCAAUGGGUCCAAUGUUACUCUGCAACUGUUGGAGGAAUCAGUUCCAGUUGCACUUUAAACAAGGAUCGGAUCAUUGCGUACGUGCAAAAGAAUUCCGAGGUAUGAUGAUCAUUCAGCUGAAAUGUGAUGUCCUCAAGUCGGGUAGGGAGCAUAUGGAGUCCCAACAUUUUGGAACUUUUUCUUAGUUUUCGCUGAAUAGCAGUAGUCUGCUAGUUUUCAGUUCUGGCAUAUGAUCUUUCUUUCUAUAAUGAAUUUUAGUAUCUUCUUUCUUGUUUCCUUUUCCUCACAAGUUAUGGUUUGUUUAUAACUUACAAGCUGUUUGUUUUUUCCAACGCUUCCCUGUUUUUUCUCCUAGGUUCCUGCUGUGGCUAACCUAGGAUUUUUAAAUCAUGCGUGUUCAAUUAUUUUUAAUAUGAAAAUUGCUACUGAGAUUGGGUGCUCAGUUAAUAUAUUUGUAUGAAUUAUAGUAUUAAUGUUUGGCUCCUAAACACACAACCCCCAGACAUACGGUCCACCAUUGCUUUCCCCACUACCCCUAGUCUCUAUUUGCUGCACCAAACAAAUAUGCCUGACCAAUCAAACAAAGGGAUCACGUUUUCUUUUUUAAGGUUGGUCUGAAGUAGUGUAUCGCACUUUAGUACAAUACGGGCGGGACAAAAAAAAUAAA